CUUUAUGAAACUGAUUACCAAACACUCAAAUCGCUCAGCACCUACCCGGUAUAUAACAAUUGCUGUAUUGGUAGUGCUAAUAAACAUUAAAGUAGUCACAAUGUAUUUAUCAUUUAGCAAGUGAAAAAUUAAACAAGCAUGAAGUGCUACGCUAAUUAAGUUUUAUUUAUUAUAAAUAGAUUAAGUUAAAAGUCGAACGGGUGAUUACACCUGCAGCGGUGCAGCUAUGGAUUCCUACCGAUCUAAAGGGUAAUCGCCUUGCCCACUAUGCUUAAUGCUGGUAUAGACUUGUCGCCGACAUGCUUCACGACGGAACAGUAAUUAAACUUAGUCUGACCUUGUUUUCGGAGCUAUUUAACUGGUGCAAAUACGGCAGUGCAAAAAGGUGGUCCAAGCCGGGGUUUCUCCACGCGACGCUACCAGAUGGGCUCGUUAGGUGGAAAAUAAGAGAAAAUAGGGAAGCAGCCUAUGGAUUAAUGG